GACGAACGCUGGCGGCGUGCUUAACACAUGCAAGUCGAACGGAAAGGCCCUGCUUUUGUGGGGUGCUCGAGUGGCGAACGGGUGAGUAACACGUGAGUAACCUGCCCUUGACUUUGGGAUAACUUCAGGAAACUGGGGCUAAUACCGGAUAGGAGCUCCUGCUGCAUGGUGGGGGUUGGAAAGUUUCGGCGGUUGGGGAUGGACUCGCGGCUUAUCAGCUUGUUGGUGGGGUAGUGGCUUACCAAGGCUUUGACGGGUAGCCGGCCUGAGAGGGUGACCGGCCACAUUGGGACUGAGGUGCGGCCCAGACUCCUACGGGAGGCAGCAGUGGGGAAUAUUGCACAAUGGGCGGAAGCCUUAUGCAGCAACGCCGCGUGCGGGAUGACGGCCUUCGGGUUGUAACCCGCUUUCGCCUGUGACGAAGCGUGAGUGACGGUAAUGGGUAAAGAAGCACCGGCUAACUACGUG
rnacentral:rRNA from 1 species